CCUAUGAAUUCAAAUACAAUGCAAUGGAGGACUUCUCAAUGCCAGGUAGGUGCUUGACUUAGGUAGGUGUCUCUAUAGUCUCUGCUCACACCUUUUCCAGUUUUGCACAUUCUCCAGCUUAGCCACCUGUGUUCAUGUGAGCUCAGGAAUUGGGUACUGCCUUUUGGGGUUAGUCACAGUAGUCUCUCAGAUUAGAACAGCAUUAGUAUUCUGGUCUGGCGGUAGGUGAAGUGGAAUUCCCAUUUUGCAGAUAGGAAAUGAAGCCCAGAGAAACUUACCCCAGAAGAGUAGAGGUACCCGGUCAGAAACUUACUCUGAUAAUGACUGGUUCUUUUGUAGGAUGUGGCCCUGGAAUGAACUUUGUACCUGGCCCCCUGCCACCAUCCGUCUCUGGCCCUGUCUCCCAUGGUCAACACCGGGGCCCAGUGGUCCACCGGGGCAAGCCACGUUGUGUUCUGAACAACCCCUACCAUGUACCAAGGAUUGGGGGCCCGUGCAGGCAUCGACUCAGACACUCAGACAGACUGAUCCACACAUAUAAACAGGACAGACGGGGAUAUGCCCAUUCAGGAACAUGGCCUGGGUAGGCAGGGUCUUAGGUUGGGGUUAGGGAUGCCAAUGACCCUGGAGGGUCUGCUUGAUAACCUAGCUGUUGGGGCGGGGGUGUUCUUGUCCAUUGCUGCUAUCAAUAAAUGCAUGAAAGG
rnacentral:lncRNA from 1 species